CAAAAGGUUGGGUGAUGUGUUAGGAAAAACUCCACUAACCAAAAUUAAACAAAAUUUUUUUAGGAAUGUAUUGGGUUGAGUAACCGGGGUAGGGUGCUUGGCUAUCAUCUCUCUUCACGUCAAAAGGUUAAAUAUAUUCUUAAGAAAAAAAACAUAUAUAAAUAUAAUAAGUUAGGAGUAUGUUGGGCUGAGUAACCGGGGUGGGG
rnacentral:lncRNA from 1 species